rnacentral:rRNA from 1 species
UACGUAGGCAGCAAGCGUUGUUCGGAGUUACUGGGCGUAAAGGGUGCGUAGGCGGCCAACUAAGUCGGAUGUGAAAUCCCCAGGCUUAACCUGGGAACUGCAUCCGAUACUGGUUGGCUUGAAUCCGGGAGAGGGAUGCGGAAUUCCAGGUGUAGCGGUGAAAUGCGUAGAUAUCUGGAGGAACACCGGUGGCGAAGGCGGCAUCCUGGACCGGCAUUGACGCUGAGUGAGCGAAAGCCAGGGGAGCAAACGGG